GAUGAACGCUGGCGGCGUGCCUAAUACAUGCAAGUCGAGCGAACAGAUGAGGAGCUUGCUCCUCUGACGUUAGCGGCGGACGGGUGAGUAACACGUGGAUAACCUACCUAUAAGACUGGGAUAACUUCGGGAAACCGGAGCUAAUACCGGAUAAUAUAUUGAACCGCAUGGUUCAAUAGUGAAAUACGGUUUUGCUGUCACUUAUAGAUGGAUCCGCGCCGUAUUAGCUAGUUGGUAAGGUAACGGCUUACCAAGGCAACGAUGCGUAGCCGACCUGAGAGGGUGGUCGGCCACACGGGAACUGAGACACGGUCAAGACGCCUAAGGGAGGCAGCAGUAGGGAAUCUUACGCAAUGGGCGAAAGCAUGACGGAGCAACGCCGCGUGAGUGAUGAAGGUCUUCGGAUCGUAAAACUCUGUUAUUAGGGAAGAACAAAUGUGGAAGUAACUAUGCACGUCUUGACGGUACCUAAUCAGAAAGCCACGGCUAACUACGUG
rnacentral:rRNA from 1 species